rnacentral:rRNA from 1 species
AGAGUUUGAUCCUGGCUCAGAAUGAACGCUGGCGGCGUGCCUAACACAUGCAAGUCGGAUGUGCCCUGCAAGGGGUGCAUGGCGGACGGGUGAGUAACACGUGGGUAACCUGCCUCGAAAUGGGGGAUAGCCUUCCGAAAGGAAGAUUAAUACCGCAUAACCUCGGAUCUCCGCAUGGAGGACCGAGAAAAGGAGAAAUCCGUUUCGAGAUGGACCCGCGGCGCAUUAGCUAGUUGGUGAGGUAACGGCCCACCAAGGCGACGAUGCGUAGCCGACCUGAGAGGGUGAUCGGCCACAUUGGAACUGAGACACGGUCCAGACUCCUACGGGAGGCAGCAGUGGGGAAUAUUGCACAAUGGGCGAAAGCCUGAUGCAGCAACGCCGCGUGAGUGAUGAAGGCCUUCGGGUCGUAAAGCUCUUUGAUCAGGGACGAUAAUGACGGUACCUGAAAAACAAGCCACGGCUAACUACGUGCCAGCAGCCGCGGUAAUACGUAGGUGGCAAGCGUUGUCCGGAUUUACUGGGCGUAAAGAAUGCGUAGGUGGAUAUUUAAGUGGGAUGUGAAAUCCCCGGGCUCAACCCGGGAACUGCAUUCCAAACUGGAUAUCUGGAGUGCAGGAGAGGAAAGCGGAAUUCCUAGUGUAGCGGUGAAAUGCGUAGAUAUUAGGAGGAACACCAGUGGCGAAGGCGGCUUUCUGGACUGUAACUGACACUGAGGCAUGAAAGCGUGGGGAGCAAACAGGAUUAGAUACCCUGG